rnacentral:rRNA from 1 species
AUUGAACGCUGGCGGCAGGCCUAACACAUGCAAGUCGAACGAGUGGCGGACGGGUGAGUAAUGUCUGGGAAACUGCCUGAUGGAGGGGGUAACCUACUGGAAACGGUAGCUAAUAACGCAUACCAUCAGAUGGGCCCAGAUGGGAUGAGCUAGUAUGUGGGGUAAUGGCUCACCUAGGCGACGAGCCCUAGCUGGUCUGAGAGGAUGACCAGCCACCCUGUAACUGAGACACGGUCCAGACUCCUCCGGGAGGCAGCAGUGGGGAAUAUUGCACAAUGGGCGCAAGCCUGAUGCAGCCAUGCCGCGUGUGGGAAGAAGGCCUUCGGGUUUUAAAGCACUUUCAGCGAGGAGGCGUUACUCGCAGAAGAAGCACCGGCUAACUCCGUGCCAGCAGCCGCGGUAAUAC